GUCGACGACAGUGUCCCAAUCACACACCUGCCUAACUACCGCGGACUUCGCCAGAGCGCGCACGCACGCACGCACGCACGUUACGCAGCGGAAGCGUGCACGCCCUCAGGCCAUCGGAACAUGGUGGUGUACAAGAGAGAAAGUUCCCUAUACUGACCAUUAUAUGACUGACAGACUAAAACGGGUUGAUUAAAAAAUCUCAAAAUUGGAUCUGAUGAAGAAAAAAAAGACGCCUACACCUCAGAUGCCCUUGGGGGCUAUAUAAAUAAAAAGUGCAAAUCUGUUUUCUGACAACAAACUAUUCUUCAUCUUGGAUGGCCUGAUGUUCUUUAGGUGUCUGAAGAUAAGGUUGCGUGAGAAAGUACAUUGUGUACAGCCUACACCUAUAAGAACAUUAUCAGCAGUCAAAACAAGACAUGAGGACUUUAGAUACGAGGAGACAACUUCCAUACAGUCUUAACAUACUGACCUACACGGCUCUCUUGACUGGAUGUGUGGGCAUGUUACCACUAUUCCUCAACCUCUUCAACAUAAUUCAGCUCAGCUCAUGGGCCAUGUCCCCCAUCUCCAGGGCUUUGUUACUGCUGAAGCUGUUGAAGUCCUGCUGAUGAGCCAUGCUCUGGUGAAGCUGGAACAGGGGGUCCCUCCAGGCCAUCAGCAGUUUAAGAAUCACCUCGGUUAACUCUUCACGCUGGCACACAGGAGUUUCAAGAGUUAAACGCUACAGGAAAUACUGUUCCUUCAGACGGAAAGAACAAGAGAAGAUGAGGGGGAAAAACCUGAAACUGAAGCCACG